rnacentral:rRNA from 1 species
UACGUAGGGUGCAGGCGUUAAUCGGAAUUACUGGGCGUAAAGCGUGCGCAGGCGGUUCGCUAAGACCGAUGUGAAAUCCCCGGGCUUAACCUGGGAACUGCAUUGGUGACUGGCGGGCUAGAGUAUGGCAGAGGGGGGUAGAAUUCCACGUGUAGCAGUGAAAUGCGUAGAGAUGUGGAGGAAUACCGAUGGCGAAGGCAGCCCCCUGGGCCAAUACUGACGCUCAUGCACGAAAGCGUGGGGAGCAAACAGG